GGGAUAAUCCUUGGGAGAUUAUCCCUGAAGCAAUAACGUCUAAACUGGGACCGGAAGCAUGGGAAGAAGCUGGGAGAAGAGGAGGAGGGAUUGCUUUGGCUGCUGUGAUGAGAAUGGACUGCAAGAGAUGGAUGCAGCAGGAAGAGUUAGAAAGUGAUGGAAACAUCCAGGCUCUGUGGAGAGCAGGCAUUGCACUGGGCAGCCUGGCUUCUUGCUUUGCCAUCCAGACAUGUGUAACUGCAAUCAAAGCUUUCACGAUAUGUGCGGUACCAUCAUCCAGGUGACCGCUGAGGACAGUCAGCUCUGCUGUGGAGGAGUGUGGAGGAUCGGGCAUUCAUUUUAGCAUUGAACAGCGUACUUGUUUCCUUUGCUCCGACUCCACGCACCUCAAAGUGCCCAGCUGCAGUGUCAUCGAUGCUCCAUUUCUUUCCUUGUGCUCUCUUAUAAGUAAAAUCACAAAUAGGCUUUUGCCUAAAGACAAGAUGCUAGUGUUAUCUUUCCGGAGUGGGCUCGUAAAUACAGAUUUUUUGGAAAGAGGUGCAUAUAAUCAGUGCACGAGCCGGCAUUCUGCAUGUGCAAUGAACAGAUGUGGCUGCAUUAUUCAGUUUCCCUAUUUGACUUCCCUACAAAGAUGUACUUCAG
rnacentral:lncRNA from 1 species